UACGUAGGGGGCAAGCGUUGUCCGGAAUUAUUGGGCGUAAAGCGCGCGCAGGCGGCUAUUUAAGUCUGGUGUUUAAUCCUGGGGCUCAACCCCGGGUCGCACUGGAAACUGGGUGGCUUGAGUGCAGAAGAGGAGAGUGGAAUUCCACGUGUAGCGGUGAAAUGCGCAGAUAUCGGGAAGAACACCCGUGGCGAAGGCGGCUCUCUGGGACGGUACUGACGCUGAGACGCGAAAGCGUGGGGAGCGAACAGG
rnacentral:rRNA from 1 species